GAUGAACGCUAGCGGCAGGCUUAAUACAUGCAAGUCGAGGGGGCAGCAAUGUCACCGGCGAACGGGUGCGUAACGCGUAUGCAACCUACCUACAUCAGGGGGAUAGCCCUAGGAAACUGGGAUUAACACCGCAUAAUAUAAGCUACGGCAUCGUAAGUUAUUGAAAUAUUUAUGGGAUGUAGAUGGGCAUGCGUAGGAUUAGCUAGUGGGUAAGGUAACGGCUUACCAAGGCUACGAUCCUUAGGGGCUCUGAGAGGAGUAUCCCCCACACUGGCACUGGGAUACGGGCCAGACUCCUACGGGAGGCAGCAGUAGGGAAUAUUGGGCAAUGGAGGCAACUCUGACCCAGCCAUGCCGCGUGCAGGAAGACGGUCCUCUGGAUUGUAAACUGCUUUUGAAUGGGAAGAAUGUGCUUCUUGCGAGGAGUAAUGACGGUACCAUUAGAAUAAGCCACGGCUAACUACGUGCCAGCAGCCGCCGUAACAC
rnacentral:rRNA from 1 species